UAAACACAUCCUCUUACUUAUUGUGGAAACACAAUACGACGGAGGGAUUUGAAGGUUUAGGGAUUUAUUCUUGAAUCUUUGAAAUAGAGCGUUUGAUAAGUUUUAUAUACUGUCUUGAAACCAUCGAUAUGGAAAAGAUUUUCUUAUUCAAGAUCGAUCUAUUAAGGUAGUUGUAGAAAUUAUCAAUGCACCCGAGUUUACCAAUUGUUUCUUCACGAUUCAAUUGAAU
rnacentral:misc_RNA from 1 species